GACGAACGCUGGCGGCGUGCUUAAUACAUGCAAGUAGGACGCAGUUGCGAGCGGGUGAGUAACGCGUAGGUCACUGCCUAUUAGAGGGGGAUAACUAUUGGACAAGAUAGCUAAUACCGCAUACCAGUAGAUGGACCUGCGUUGUAUUAGUUAGUAGGUAGGGUAAUGGUCUACCUAGGCGGCGAUACGUGGCCGAGCUUGGAAGGGGGUCGGGCAAACUGGGACUGGGACACGGGCCAGGAUCCUACGGGAGGCAGCAGGAGGGAAUCGUCGGGAAUGGGGCGAAACCUGAACGAGCAACGCCGCGGGAGUGAAGGAGGUUUUCGGAUCGUAAAGCUAUGUUGUUAAGGAAGCGGUACUUAACCAGAAAGGGACGGCUAACUCCGUGCCAGCAGCCGCGGUAAUUC
rnacentral:rRNA from 1 species